rnacentral:rRNA from 1 species
CCAAUAGCGUAUAUUAAAGUUGUUGCAGUUAAAAAGCUCGUAGUUGAAUUUCGGGGUCAGUAGGUUGGUCGUGCCACCGGUACGUACUGGUCUCACUGAUUCCUCCUUCCUGAUGAGCUGUAAUGCCAUUAAUUUGGUGUUGCAGGGAAUCUGGACUGUUACUUUGAAAAAAUUAGAGUGUUUAAAGCAGGCUAACGCUUGAAUACAUUAGCAUGGAAUAAUGAAAUAGGACGUUCGAUCCUAUUUUGUUGGGUUCUAGGAUUGACGUAAUGAUUAAUAG